CAAAAUACGUUAUACAAAUAUAUAUUAAUAAGUAUAUAUUAAAAUAUGUAUUCAUUAUAUAUACUAAUAUUUACAUAUAAAUAAUUCAUAAGAAACAUGAUAAACAUAAAUUUCAUAUUAUGAUUUUACUAUAAGAAAAGAUCACUUGCUAUAUUGAAUUUAUUGUAUAAUAUAACAAGUUUCUAAACAAAAAUAUUUUUUCAAUAGAAAAUAUAUAUUUUCCAAAAUAUGCAUAUAUAUAUUUUUAAGAAUUAAUAUUUUACAUCUAAAAUUGCUAAUAUCACCAACAUUAAUAAUGAAUAUUAAUCUCAAGCAAAAUAGAAAAGUUCUUACAUUUGGUAGAACACGUUUUGACUUUGAUCUAUUAUUAUUUGACCAGAAUAACAAUAAAACAUGAGAUGCAAUAAUACUGCCAUGAUUCCUAUAACAUUCUUUAUUACAAAUUCUAUCUCCUCCAAUCCAUACACGAGCUAAAAUAUAUAAAAUACAUUAUAUUAUAUAAUAAAUAUUUGAAUUUUAAUUUUUAAAAUUUGUUUUAAUAUUUUAAUAUUUAUUAAUAUUGGUAAUUUUUUCUUCCCUCUAAAAUGUGUGUAUAUAACUAAUUGCUGAUAAUGUUUACUUGAAGUCCGAUCAGACUAAAAAUCAUAAUAUUAAGUAAUAAUGUGACAAAUGCCCCUACACGAUAUAUUGAAUUCAAUAAACUGACAAAUCUGUAAAUAAAAGUAUGCUAAUAUUUUACAAAAAAUAUGUUAUAAAUAUAUUACAUAGGCAGUAAUAAGAAUAUUUAAAAAAAUCUUUACUCUAGAGCAAUCUGAUGUUUCUUUAAACACAUAACGUAUUCCUGGUAUAUCACUUGUUCGAUUGCCAGUUUAUUCGUGCCGAUUUUCAUACAGUAUCUGUUAAUAUUUGUGUUUAUGUAACAUUCGCAGUAGUUGCUAAGAUUCAUAUUAUUAUCCGGUUUUGAAAUCAUUUCAAUUUGUUGACUGUGAAACCAAAUUCUUACAAUCUUACGCAACAGAAUUAAAGGAGAAAAAGUUAUUUAUUUGUGUACGUAUUUAACAAUCGAAAAUAAACUAUAAGCAUGAAGUAUACGAGUAAUAUAUAUACCGUUGACAGCACUCAGGAUAGUCACACCCAGCAAAAGUACACUUGUAUGGUAACAAUAAAUUGAUGCGUAAUACUUAUCCAUAUUUAUUCUCCAUUUUAUGGGUAUCGGAAAGUAUCGCGGUCGUGAUUCAUUAAGAGGCCGUAUGAUAUCGAAUAAUAUCGAUUUAAGCGGAAUUGUAAAAUAAAAUGUUAUUGCUACAUACAUUAAAGCUGCAUUUAAAAAAAUAUAUAUUUUUGUAUGCUUUAUAUAUUUUGUAUAUUUAUAAUGUAUACAAAACAUGUUUAUAUUUAUGAAUUAAACAUACAUAAAUAUAUAUUUAUUUAUAAUUUAUAUAAGUAUAUUAUAAAUAUAUUAAAAAGAUUAUUAAUAUUUUUUGUUAGAAAAAUUAAAUGAACACUUUAUAUGCAACCGAAGAAAUUUUGUGUUGAGUUUUUUUUAUUAGUUUUGUAUUAAUGUUUUUUAAAUAUUUACUAAUAUAUAACGUCUAUUAUCUUAUAUUCUUUACUCACUCGUAUAAAUUAUUAUCAAUUUUCGUGAUAGACCAGAAUAAUUUUUAAGAAUACGCAUUUCAGAUUCCUUUGUAAAUAUAUUCCAUUGAUUUUCCAUAAUUUCAUAUAAACGUCGUACCUGACCAUAACAAAUAGCUUUAUUAAAAUAAUAAUUAAAAAGGUAUAAAUAAAUUAAUAAUAUUUACAAUACACAUACCUUGUCGUAAUUCCAAAACUCAUUAAAUAACUUAGCGAUAAAUAAUAUUAUCGAGACAAUGUAAUGAAAAGUUUCAAAAAUGCAUUGUGUAUCUUCCCAAUAAUCAUAUAACAUUAAUAUCUAAUCGUAAUAUUAAUUCAAAUUAUUAAAUAUAUAUCAUAUACUUAAAAAGAUAUUUUUUUUAAAAGAAUUAGAAUUACAUUUUAUGUAAUCUUAUUAGUACUUUUUAUAUUAGUAUUCCUUAUAUUCAUGUAGAUGAAAAUACGUGUUGAGAUGUAUUACCUCGAAUAGAAGGAUACUCAAUCACAAGAAAUGAAAGCAGUAACAAACUUCUAACGAAUUUAUUUUGAAAUGGCCAAAGACCACAAUGUGAUGUACAGUAAUAUUUUAUUGAUAUUGUAUUCUCGUAGAAUAUUUACCAGCAUGGUAUUUUCGCUAUAAAUACUAUGAUAUUGUUGCACUCGCAGCGCGUACACGGUAUGCGUAACUUGCGGCGCACUUAUUAACAUUCUCACAAGCUCACUCACAAAAUUAAACUAAAGAACACGAGCUUUAUCAAAACGAGAAAAUACAGAAGCAGACGUAUUCGAGCGUCCAUACAGACAGAGAGACUGUCAGAAACAACACGUCGCUAACGAGCGACUCGCCUGUUGAACCGCGCGCGUCGCGGCACUGAAUGCCGUAAAAUUCGUUUUUCUGAAAAAUUAUUGGUAAUACAGUUCUUUUUUUUUUAUUACCGACCUUCUGUAUUCCUCAUUCAACAUCUUAACCAUAAAAUAGCGUCUAGUUGUCACAUUUUUCCUAUCAAGUAAUCAAUUUUUUAUCAGCUUUGAAAACAUUUAAGACAUUGUUUCGCGGCACAGAGUGCUGCGCGUGCCCACUAACGUUUGACCGAAGACACACCCCAAUACACCCGCCUAAGGGUUAAUAUCGAUUUCCGUCAUUUCUCUCGGUUUUGGCCUGGUUUAACAAUUUACGGUUAGCGAGUUAACCUAAGUUUAACUCGCUGAACUCAGCUUAACGCAUUUGUGGCGUUCCAAAACUACCUUAAAUCUUUGUUAAGGUUUAUUUGCUUCGGUUAAAGGUGAAUCCCCGAUUUUGGGCGUUUAAUCAAUUUAACCGACUUUUACAACCAUGACAUCAUUGAAAUUGCUGUGAAAGUUUCUCACGUCUUGCAAUAACUUUUCUUUUGAUGUUACAUAUGGUUAUAUAUGUGCUUCGUUGUUGAAUUGAAAGAGAGUAUUGCAUUUUACAAUAUACAUGUACAUAUAUUGGAAAGUACUCUUAAGAUUCAUCAAAAUUUUUAAAUGGCUUUUGCACAUGUUAUCGUCAUCACCUACCGAAAAAUGAUAAUGGAAUCAACAUCGAUUCGACAUCGAAAUAAUUAUUUUGAUGCCGAUUCGACGUCGAUUCCAUUAUCAUUUCUUAUUGAGCGAAGAAUGAAGACUUUGCUGAUAUUAUAAUAGAAGACCAUAUAAUGUUAGAAAACGACCUUAUUUUUAUGAACUUGACGAUGUUGAUUUUCACGCUCGAUUCCGAUUGUUGAAAGAAUGUAUUUCUGAAGUGUUGGAAGAUAUUGAACCCGAAAUUUCACAUUUAACAGAACGGUAAGUAUAUGUAUCGGAUCAUUACAAAAUAGCAACUGAGAGUAUCUGAAAACUUUAUUUGUUUCGUUUGUAUUUCAGCCACAAGAGUUGGAAAUUUUAUAAAUCUUGACGGAAGACGAGCUUAGGGAAGUUGUCGUUUAUGAAUAGUAAUUAUUGAUUGCUUUGAUAAUAAAAAUUAUAUGAACAGUAAUAAGUAGAAUCACAGUAAUGCCAAUAAAUUUAUAGCUUUUACUGUUGAGAAAUUCAUAGGCAUCUUACAAAUAUAUAUUCAAAGAACAAAGUGUAUAGAGGGUUAACAUUUUUUAUAUUGUACAUAAUUAAUUUAUGAUUGCUAUUUGUUUAUUAAGAACAAUUUUAUUUCUCCUAUGAAUCAGCUUUUUUUGACAUUGAGAUUCUACGCUACUAGUAACCAUUUAAUAUCGGCAGGUGAUUUUUCUGGAGUGAGCAAAACGAGUGCUCACAGAAUUGUUCACCGUGUAACAAAUGCUAUUGGACGUCUUCGGCCAAGGUUUAUCAAAUUUCUUACUCUUGCGGAUAAAAUUAGAAUAAAUAAAGUUUUUUGACAUUGCACGAUUUGCACGAGUUGUGGGUUGCAUAGAUUGGACACAUGUAAAAAUCUAGUCAUUUGGUAAUUAAUAUUUAAACUGUAUAUUAUUGAUAUUUAGAAGUGAACUUAAUACAGAUUGUUUUGCUGUUAUAAAAGUGUUAAUAAUUAUUGUAAAUAUUUUCAGGUGGAAAUAAUGCAGAAUAUUUCAGAAAUCGAAAGGGUUACUUUUCAAUUAAUGUUCAAGCUAUUUGUAACGUUAAUUUGGAAAUAACGGACCUUGUAGCUCAUUGGACGUCUUAUAAGUUAGCGGAACAAAGAAGUUUAUGUUAACGGGACAAUACCCUUAUAUCGAAAAAAUCAUAUGCAAAAAUAAGUCAGAAUUUGUUGCUAAUUCUGUACAAAAUGCUAACAAUUCGUGAUACUCUAACAGUAAGUAUUCAGAAUGAAAAUGAGGUGGGAUACUUCGUGCCUUGUCUUGUCAUUUCAUUGAUCACUUUUUACGAUUACAAACAUUAAUACGAUAUUAUGCGUAAAAAUAGUCGAUUUGUUCCAUAAUUUACGGGUCCGAUUCUAACACUCAUUCUUGUUUCUCACACACACACACACACACACACACACACACACGCACGCACGCACGCACGCACGCACGCACGCACGCACGCACACACACACACACACACACAUACACACACAUAUCGGUUUUAUAUAAGAAAUUAAUAAGACAAUUGAGCAUGACGAAUAUGAUGUAAAUGUGUCAUUUACAUCGAUGUUGUCACACAUUUCGAGAACUCAUAUUUUAAUUACAUUUAUUUUAUUAACGUGCUGGAAUGUGUUGGAAUAUAAAUAUAAGUACAAUCGUUCUUAAAGUGUUUUUGUGACAAAGCAGAAUCUAAUUAUAUAAAGUUCUUGAAGAGACUUUGACAAUGUCAACAACAAUUCAAAUAUCUUAAUCCAGAAUUAAGAAGAGAGACUAUACAAUAUACGAAACUAAUUAAUCUUUGAAUGAUAAAAAUGUCAUGAAAUAGGAUACUCCUGCUUUCACCAUCUUAAAGAAAGUACAAAGAUAUGCAUAAUUUGUCUUUCACACAUCACAAGUAAGUAUUUAAGACUCAUACAUACUGCAGCAUAAGUCUCCAGUGAUAAUGAAAAUAUGGCAGUUUUUAAUCCACAAGGUGUGAAACUUUUCCGAAGAGUUAUAAGCAUCAAUGAUUUAAAUCUCCAUGAUAAUGCGUACCAUUCUACAGCGUAUCUGUAAAUAUAAAUUUAAGAAUUUUUUUUCACAUUUGGUAGAUAACUAUAUUUGAUUUAAAAAUUAAAAUUUUUAUAUAUUUUUUUAAAAAAAUGAAUAAAUAAGCGUUUUUUAAAAUUAUAAAUUAAUAUUUUAAGUAAAAGUUUGUAUUUACAUAAAAUUUGUAUUUACAUGUUCUACAUUGUACAAAAUACGUUAUGCAAAUAUGUAUUAAAAUAUGUAUUAAUUAUGUAUUUAUAUUUACAUAUAAAUAAUUCAUAAGAAACGUAAAUUUCACAUUAAGAUCUUACUAUAAGAAAAGAUCACUCGCUAUAUUGAAUUUAUGUUAUAAUAUAACAGAUUUCUAAACAAAAGUAUUUUUUCAACAGAAAAUAUAUAUUUUUCAUAAUGUGCAUAUAUACAAUAUAUAUUUGUUUUUAAUAAUUAAUAUUUUGCAUCUGAAAUUACUAAUAUCACCAACAUUAAUGAUAAAAAUUAAACUCGAGCAAAAUGGAAAAGUUCUUACAUUCGGUAGAACACUUUUUGACUAUGAUCCAUUAUUAUCUGACCAGAAUAACAAAUAACCAAGAGAUGCAUUAAUAUUGCUGUGAUUAUCACAAUGUGACUUAUUGCAUUUACUAUCUUUUCCAACUCAUACACGAGCUACAACAAAUAAAAAAAUAUUACAUGAUAAUACGUUAAUUUUAAUUUUUAAUAUUUGUUAAUAUCUUAGUAUUUAUUAAUAGAGGUAAUUUUUUUUUUUAAGUGUAUAUAACAAAUAGCUAAUAAUGUUUACUCGGAUUAUGGAGAGACUAAAAAUCAAGAUAUUAAGUAAUAAUAAGAAAAAUGUCCCUACAUAAUACAUUGAAUUCAAUAAACUGACAAAUCUGUAAAUAAAAAUAUGUAUAUUAAUAUAUUACAAAUGUAUUACAAAUAUAUUAUACAGACAGUGACAAGAAUAUUAUAGAAAAAACUUCACUCUCGAGCUAUCUGGUAUUUCUUUAAACAUAUAAUAUAUUCCUUGUAUGUCACUUCUUCGCUUGUCGAUUUGUACGUGUCGAUUUUCAUGCAGUAUUUGCUAUCAUUUGUGUUUAUGCAACAUUUGCAAUUAUUGCUAGUUUUCAUAUUGAUAUCCGGUUUUGAAAUCAUCUCGAUUUGUUGACUGUAAAAUAAAAUUCUUACAAUCUUACGCAAUAGAAUUACGAGAGAAAAAGUUUUUUAUUUGUGUACGUACUUAACGAUCGAAAAUAAACUACAAGCAUGAAGUAUACGAGUAAUAUAUACACUGUCGACAGCACAAAAAACACCUACACCUAGCAAAAGUGUAGUCGUGAGGUAACAAUAAAUCGGUACGUAAUACUUA